AGCGGCGGACGGGUGGGUAACGCGUGGGUAACCGUGCCUCAUACAGGGGGAUAACAGUUGGAAACGGCUGCUAAUACCGCAUAAGCGCACAGUACCGCAUGGUACCGUGUGAAAAACUCCGGUGGUAUGAGAUGGACCCGCGUCUGAUUAGCUAGUUGGUGGGGUAACGGCCUACCAAGGCGACGAUCAGUAGCCGACCUGAGAGGGUGACCGGCCACAUUGGGACUGAGACACGGCCCAA
rnacentral:rRNA from 1 species